rnacentral:rRNA from 1 species
AUUCCAGCUCCAAUAGCGUAUAUUAAAGUUGUUGCAGUUGAAAAGCUCGUAGUCGAACUUCAGACCUGGCUGGGCGGUCUGCCUUAACGGUACGUACUGUCCGGCCGGGCCUUACCUCUUGGUGAGCCGGCAUGCCCUUUACUGGGUGUGUCGGGGAACCAGGACUUUUACUUUGAGAAAAUUAGAGUGUUCAAAGCAGGCUUAUGCCCGAAUACAUUAGCAUGGAAUAAUAGAAUAGGACGUGCGGUUCUAUUUUGUUGGUUUCUAGAGUCGCCGUAAUGAUUAAUAGGGACAGUUGGGGGCAUUAGUAUUCAGUUGCUAGAGGUGAAAUUCUUGGAUUUACUGAAGACUAACUUCUGCGAAAGCAUUUGCCAAGGAUGUUUUCAUCG